GGGCCAUUAGCUCAGAUGGUAGAGCACCGGACUUUUAAUCCGGGUGUCCCGGGUUCGAGUCCCGGAUGGCUCACCA
rnacentral:tRNA from 2 species